CUGUCUCCCUCAUCUGUGGCCGCCAUCCAAGUCCUCGUUUCUGCUUUCAACCUCUCCUUCCCUCCCUAAAAUUCCCAAAACGCAUCCGGCCAAAUCGUUCUCUCUGCUAUUCGAUCGAAGCCUCACCCUAAAAACCCUAGAUUUCUCUCUUCCAUCCACGAAUUCAAUCAGUUCUAGAGAGAUUAGGGUUUUUAUGGAGAGGAUCGUCGCAGAGAAGUACAAGUUAGGUCGCAAAAUUGGGAGCGGCUCAUUCGGCGAAUUGUACCUCGCAACUCAUAUUGAGACUGGCGAGAAUUUGGCCGCGAAAAUUGAAAAUAACAAGACAAAACAUCCGCAACUGUUGUAUGAAGCCAAGCUUUAUAAAACUCUACAGGGAGGAAGUGGUAUUGCAGGCAUUAAAUGGGCGGGAUUUGAUAGGGACGAUAAUGUUCUCAUCAUUGACUUAUUGGGACCGAGUCUCGAGGACCUCUUUGUGUACUGUGGGAGGAAGUUUUCACUGAAAACAGUCUUAAUGUUGGCUGACCAGAUGAUUACAAGAAUAGAGUAUGUGCAUUCUAAAGGGUUUUUGCAUAGAGACAUCAAACCUGACAACUUCCUCAUGGGUCUCGGCAGGAAAGCAAAUCAGGUUUACAUUAUUGAUUUUGGACUUGCAAAAAGAUUUCGGGACCAAAAUACAAACCGGCACAUUCCGUACAGAGAAAACAAAAGCUUAACAGGAACUGCACGUUAUGCUAGUUGCAAUACCCAUUUGGGAAUUGAUCAGAGUCGUCGGGAUGAUUUGGAGUCACUUGGCUAUGUUCUUCUGUACUUCUUAAGAGGAAGCCUUCCUUGGCAGGGUCUUAAAGCUGCAACGAAGAAGCAAAAAUAUGAUAAGAUUUGUGAGAAGAAGCUAUCAACUCCCAUUGAGGUCCUAUGUAAGUCUCAUCCUGUGGAGUUUGCAUCCUACUUCCAUUAUUGCCACUCUUUAACAUUUGAUCAACGCCCGGAUUAUGCAUUCUUGAAGCGCCUGUUUCGUGACUUAUUCAGCCGUGAAGGGUAUGAUUUUGAUUAUGUAUUUGACUGGACAAUUCUAAAAUACCAUCAGGCACAACAGACAAGGACCCAGGGUCAAUCAUCUGGUGUUCAGCCAGCUGUAGCGACUAACGGUCGAGCAGCGGCUAGCAGUCGACCAGUGCCUAUGGAUGCGAUGAGACUUAAAGGAGUUAAUGAUGUUUCUGGAUCAGCUGAGGUCGCAGACCGUAGACGGUCGAGUAAUCUUGCUCAUCCAGAUGUUCAUAUGCAAUUUAGAUCGUCAACAGCCCAGAAUUUAGGUGCUAAUAAUCUGGUUGAAAAACAUCAUGUGAGCAAUGUGCCGAUGCCAUCUUCUACGUAUGCUCUCAGAAAAAAUUAUAAAAAACCAGAGGGGCCGACUGAAAAUGCAAACUUAGGUCGUGGAGUUGGGAACCAAAAUGGUGCUUCAAGCAGUUGGAUGCCAUCAAUAAACCAGGUUUCUUCCUCAAAGUAAUAGCCUUGGUUUGUUUUUCAGGUACAGAUCUGAAGGAGAUUACUCAAAGCAUGCAUCUUGCUGUAGCAAAUGUCAUGAAGUUUGGAUUGCUCUCGUUCUUCCAUGUCAGAUGUCAUAACGUAUGAGAAAAAUGUGACUGGAAAAGCAUGAACACACUGGAUGCGCUUGAAGCUCACCUCCGAAGCUUGGACUUUUCGCGUGCAUAGGUGGCAAAAAUGACUAAGCCCAUAUCAUGUUGUGUGGAUGAUGUGUACAGUGUAGCUUCCAUUAUUCUGAUAAUAGAUGAUAAAUUUUUUCUUCGGUGCUAUUUGGUUGUUUUGACCAUGUAUUUCAUUCAAUUCAGGAUUGAGUUGCUUUCUGUUCUUAUUGCUGUAUCUUUUUCGGAUCAAAGCCCUGGAUGUUCACCCAGGCUCUUCAGAAUCUGGAAAAAGAGUAAAACUAGUAUUUCAGAUCUUGAUAUGAGAUGUUAUAGAGGAUGAAUGGGACAACUUCAUUGGCUGUCUCGAUGUCGAUUUGAAGAGGGUAUUAGAGAUCCUUCUAUCUAUCGGUUGUUAAAUUCUUUCGAGUUUUGUAUUUAAAAGCUUUAAUAAUCCAUGAUUUGAAGCAGGGUUGGAGUCACUUGAUUAUGAUUUUCGUACUUCUAAUUACGGAACCCUAUCCCUCAGAUUCCUGCCAA